rnacentral:rRNA from 1 species
UACGAAGGGGGCUAGCGUUGUUCGGAUUUACUGGGCGUAAAGCGCACGUAGGCGGAUCGUUAAGUCAGAGGUGAAAUCCUGGAGCUCAACUCCAGAACUGCCUUUGAUACUGAGAGUCUUGAGUAUGACAGAGGUGAGUGGAACUGCGAGUGUAGAGGUGAAAUUCGUAGAUAUUCGGAAGAACACCAGUGGCGAAGGCGGCUCACUGGACUGGUAUUGACGCUGAGGUGCGAAAGCGUGGGGAGCAAACAGG